rnacentral:rRNA from 1 species
AGGCUUAACACGUGCAAGUCGAGCGCCUAUCUUCGGGUAGGAGCGGCGAACGGGUGAGUAACACGUAGGUCACGUACCCUAUGGUGGGGAAUACCCCGAGGAAACUCGGAUCAAUGCCCCAUAUGCCCGCAAGGGUGAAAGCGCUUCGGCGCGCCAAAGGAUCGGCCUGCGGCCCAUUAUUUAAUCCUAGUUGGUGAGGUAACGGCUCACCAAGGGUACGAUGGGUAGCUGGUCUGAGAGGACGAUCAGCCACACUGGAACUGAGACACGGUCCAGACUCC